GAUGAUUAGAAGCUUCGUGUGUGAAGACGAGAAUCCAUUCUAAGUGGCUUUCUUUCCCUUCUAUUUCGUGGAAUUCCUUGCUGGCUUUUGCCGGUUACCGGAACAAGUGUGUGUUACUUGGGGCAAGCUCAGGUCCAAAUACAACAAAUUAUGUGGCAAGAAAGGCUGUAGAGGCAGGCCAGCCAUUGGAACCUCUUAAAGGUUGAGGCCCAAGUCCUGAUGUACUCUUUCUUCGUUGAAAGCAAUCCUACAGGUUCUGAAGUUAAGCUGGCAAAGUCAUACUUCUAUGACAAGGCUAUCUAUAUGUGCAAGCCGGCAUGGAAACUCUUCCUACCUGAGAAUGAAUACAAGCUCGAUCCCCCAGCUGCCAACCCUCUCCUCCCUGGAAGGCAGACACCUCUGAAAUAUAUGCCCUGAACGCUAACAGUUGCAGUUGCAGCGGAAAAUGACUUCAUGAGAGACAAGGCUAUUGUUUACUCAGAGGAAUUGCGGAGAAAGAGUUAACUUAUUGGUGUAGGAGCAAUCCUCUUCUUCAGUUUCGAUGUUGGGGAGGAUCAGCUCAUCAGAAUUCUCGUAUAUAUAAGCCUGAGGAAUAGAGCUUCUAGUGAAUUUUCCAUGAGUUGUUAUUAUUUAGGUGAGGGGUUCAUUUUCUUGUUUCCUUUUCUUUUUCUUUUUAUUCUUGUAAAGGAUAUAGUGUUUGAGAUUAGAUUACGUUUUCCUUGAAUUUUGAGAUGGAUGCUUUCCCUCCUCAAAUAUACGAGGAACAUUCUUUAUCCUUGUUUAGAUGAAUUACAUUUUACGAAUACAAAUAAUGCAAAUUAAAUGCCA